UACGUAGGGUGCGAGCGUUAAUCGGAAUUACUGGGCGUAAAGCGUGCGCAGGCGGUUGUGCAAGACAGAUGUGAAAUCCCCGGGCUUAACCUGGGAACUGCGUCUGAUACUGGGGGGCUUGAGUAUGGGAGAGGGAUGUAGAAUUCCAGGUGUAGCGGUGAAAUGCGUAGAGACGUGGAGGAAUACCGAUGGCGAAGGCAGCCUCCUGGGCCAACACUGACGCUCAUGCACGAAAGCGUGGGGAGCAAACAGG
rnacentral:rRNA from 1 species